UACGUAGGUGGCAAGCGUUAUCCGGAAUUAUUGGGCGUAAAGCGCGCGUAGGCGGUUUUUUAAGUCUGAUGUGAAAGCCCACGGCUCAACCGUGGAGGGUCAUUGGAAACUGGAAAACUUGAGUGCAGAAGAGGAAAGUGGAAUUCCAUGUGUAGCGGUGAAAUGCGCAGAGAUAUGGAGGAACACCAGUGGCGAAGGCGACUUUCUGGUCUGUAACUGACGCUGAUGUGCGAAAGCGUGGGGAUCAAACAGGAUUAGAUACCCUGGU
rnacentral:rRNA from 1 species